rnacentral:rRNA from 1 species
CCUACGGGUGGCUGCAGUGAGGAAUAUUGGUCAAUGGACGAGAGUCUGAACCAGCCAAGUAGCGUGAAGGAUGACUGCCCUAUGGGUUGUAAACUUCUUUUAUAUGGGAAUAAAAUGUUCCACGUGUGGGAUUUUGUAUGUACCAUAUGAAUAAGGAUCGGCUAAAUCCGUGCCAGCAGCCGCGGUAAUACGGUGGAUCCGAGCGUUAUCCGGAUUUAUUGGGUUUAAAGGGAGCGUAGGUGGAUUGUUAAGUCAGUUGUGAAAGUUUGCGGCUCAACCGUAAAAUUGCAGUUGAAACUUGCAGUCUUGAGUAAAGUAGAGGUGGGCGGAAUUCGUGGUGUAGCGGUGAAAUGCUUAGAUAUAACGAAGAACUCCGAUUGCGAAGGCAGUUCACUGGACUGAAACUGACACUGAGGCUCGAAAGUGUGGGUAUCAAACAGGAUUAGAUACCCGAGUAGUC